rfam:Brassica rapa chromosome A8, whole genome shotgun sequence.
GAGAAAGAGAAUUGUCUGAAUAGCCAAAGAGACUGCCUAACGACUAGCCAACUCAGAGACUGUUGAUCAAGUCUCUGAUAUAUAUGGUUCAAGACGCAGGCAAGUCAUCCUUGGCUACCACACAACUUCUCAUUCU